rnacentral:tRNA from 1 species
AGGUAUAUAGCUCAAUUUGGUUAGAGCAUUCGUUUGAUAAACGAAAGGUUGAUGGUUCAAGUCCAUUUAUACCUA